rnacentral:rRNA from 1 species
GAUGAACGCUAGCGGCAGGCCUAAUACAUGCAAGUCGAGGGGUAAGUUAAGAGCUUGCUUUUAACACGACCGGCGCACGGGUGCGUAACGCGUAUGCAACCUACCUAAUACUAGUGGAUAGCCCAGAGAAAUUUGGAUUAAUACACUAUGGUAUCAUAAAACUGCAUAGUUUAAUGAUUAAAGAUUUAUUGGUAUUAGAUGGGCAUGCGUCUGAUUAGCUAGAUGGCGGUGUAACGGACCACCAUGGCAAUGAUCAGUAGGGGGCCUGAGAGGGUGAUCCCCCACACUGGCACUGAGAUACGGGCCAGACUCCUACGGGAGGCAGCAGUAGGGAAUAUUGGUCAAUGGGCGAAAGCCUGAACCAGCCAUGCCGCGUGCAGGAUGACGGCCUUCUGGGUUGUAAACUGCUUUUAUCAGGGAAGAAAAAGGUCUUGCGAGACAAAUUGCCGGUACCUGAAGAAUAAGCACCGGCUAACUCCGUGCCAGCAGCCGCGGUAAU